rnacentral:rRNA from 1 species
GAGUUUGAUCUUGGCUCAGAUUGAACGCUGGCGGCAUGCUUUACACAUGCAAGUCGAACGGCAGCGCGGGGCAACCUGGCGGCGAGUGGCGAACGGGUGAGUAAUAUAUCGGAACGUACCCAAGAGUGGGGGAUAACGUAGCGAAAGUUACGCUAAUACCGCAUACGAUCUAAGGAUGAAAGUGGGGGAUCGCAAGACCUCAUGCUCCUGGAGCGGCCGAUAUCUGAUUAGCUAGUUGGUGAGGUAAAGGCUCACCAAGGCGACGAUCAGUAGCUGGUCUGAGAGGACGACCAGCCACACUGGAACUGAGACACGGUCCAGACUCCUACGGGAGGCAGCAGUGGGAAUUUUGGACAAUGGGCGCAAGCCUGAUCCAGCAAUGCCGCGUGAGUGAAGAAGGCC